GAGGGCACUUUGCGGGGGCCCACUCCUAGAGGAAGCUGGCUGUGUCUCCUAGGCCCCAGAUGACCUUGGUCUCCACUGAAGAGUUCCCAGGGCCGUGGUAUGUGUAGGGGAGGGAAGGCCAGGGUCCCAGGCCUUGGAUUCAGAUGCUGCAAGGAGGGGCCUGCUGUCUGAUGGUGAGGGUCUGCUGACCGCGAAGGCGUUGGCUUUGCAUCUGAGUUAGUGUGGGAAGAGCCUCUUUACCCAAAGCCAGGCCAAGAAGUACACAUGUCGGAAAAAGAGCCUCCAAAUCCUGUACCCGAUUUGAUGGAAACCACCGACCAGACCCCAAAAAGCACAUGAACACUUUGGGGUUCUCAGACACUCUCCUCCCAAAUCCUCAGACUCUGGGGUGCUGUGUAAGCAUCUCAGGGCUCAUGGAUCACUCCCACAAAUUCUCAGACUCUGGGUGCCAGGGAGCUACCAGGGUGACACCCUGUGCGCCCCCCAAUGCUGAGUUCCCGAGCCUGCGCCCUGGGGCCUCCUCCUCCUCCUCUGGCCAUUAGGUCCCCUCCAUCUUUUCUAGGUGAGCUACCUGCACCUCUCCCUCCCCCCUGGGCUGGGGCUACACCUGGCAGGGAGAGGCCCGCCAUCUAUGAACUUUGCUGAAUAGCAGAAGGUGGGCAGCGGUCUGACUGUGUGCAUCACCUGAGCCACGCCCGGAUCUCAGGUAAACAGCAGAGGGGGCCAAGAAGGGGGGGCUGUGCGAAUCUUGGGCCUCAAGGGCUGCCUCUCGCCACCUGCUGCAGCUGGAUCUCAGGCCCUUCCUGUGGCCUGAACAGAAGCAUGUUCCAGGGUGUCCCCACACUCUGCCCUGCCAUCGUGCCCCUGUGGCCUCAGUGAGGCAUCUUGGGGGCAGGGCUUCCUCCGUAGCACGUGGCUUGUCCGUGGUUCUUGACCCAUUGGAAAUAAAGGGGCAAACUGGAGUUUGACGUGGUGCUCCCUGUCCCAGUGAGACAGGAAUACGAUACAGACCCGUGUGAGUGCAGAGACCUCUUGGGGUGAUGGACAAUGGCCAGGAGAAACAGGGUCUGUUGAAACUGGGACCAGCAGGCAGAUGCCUGCACUGGCAGCCAGCGGGGUGGACGAGAACCGCCAGAGGUGCUGAGUGCAAACCGGGGGGGACAAGGAGGCCUUGGAGGCUGUCCCCUCCUCCAGGGGCCAGCCCUGACAGCCAUUCCCAACCAGUGUGGCCCCCCUGGGGUCCUGCCUCACUGCCCCUUGGACACUAGGAAGCCCCGCUUCUGCUUUCCGGCUGCUGGAGGUGCUGUCCGCGUGGUGAGCUCCGAGGAGCGCCUGCGUCGCCCGGAGAGCCUGCUGACGGCAUCCAGGACGGAACCCUGUGUGUCCAGCCCUGCCUGGAGGGGGGGGUCCCCUCUACCCUGGGUGCGGUGGGGAGCUCCCCCUGACACCCAGGUUAGAGGGUCGGUCCCCUAGUGAAACCCCGCUGUCACCGGAGAGACUCCUGGGUGGGGCCAGGGGCUCUUCACAGAACUGGGCCCAUUGCUAGGUGCCUGCUGAGCCUGUGGCCAGUUGAUGGGAGUCUAGGACCCUCCUACUGAGUGGUGGAUAGCUGUCACAGCCUGUGCCCCAAAGGCAAGUGUGCCCAGGAGGUCUGGGCCUUCGGCCACCUUGUUGGAAACAAGUCACGGAGUCCACGUUCUGCCAUGGAGGCUGCUCGAGCCUGGGUUUCUGCAGUGGGUUCUAGGUCUUGGACACGUCCCCCAAGGCAUGCUGUAUGACAGUCAGAUGAGCUGACUGGGGCCAUCGCUGGCUGUGCCAGUCUCUCUUUGAGAUGUGUAACAGGUAGAGAAGGGUCUUGUCAUGAUGAUGGGCAGGUCUACUUUCCAGGGGAGGAGGUCGAGGCAGCGGUAAUAUUGAGAAGCCCCCCAGGCCCUGGCAAUACUCAGAGCUCCCGAGCCAUGCCCAGCACUGACCAUUCUGCCACACUCCCUCAGGCCACCUCUGGCCAGGAGGAGGAGUGGCUCCCCUACCAGUGUUGUGCAGUGAGAGCCCCGACCACCGUCCUUUCCCUGGGGUCACUUCAUGAUCUUGUAUACGCAAAAUACCCAGUCUACUUUUGUCAGAAUGCUUCUCUGAACUGUUUUAUUCUGGUGAAUCUGAGCACGGUACCCAGGAUGCCCACAGGACCAACUUACACGUCUCCUGUGAAAACGCUUCUUGCCGCUCAC
rnacentral:lncRNA from 1 species